rnacentral:siRNA from 1 species
AUAUAUCUUGAUCGUGACCGCCC